rnacentral:rRNA from 1 species
UACGUAGGGUGCAAGCGUUAAUCGGAAUUACUGGGCGUAAAGCGUGCGCAGGCGGUUAUGUAAGACAGUUGUGAAAUCCCCGCGCUCAACCUGGGAACUGCAUCUGUGACUGCAUAGCUAGAGUACGGUAGAGGGGGAUGGAAUUCCGCGUGUAGCAGUGAAAUGCGUAGAUAUGCGGAGGAACACCGAUGGCGAAGGCAAUCCCCUGGACCUGUACUGACGCUCAUGCACGAAAGCGUGGGGAGCAAACAGG